UAAUGUAUGGGGAUCUGCCCGAUAGAGGGGGAUAACUACUGGAAACGGUGGCUAAUACCGCAUAAUGUCUACGACCAAAGCAGGGGCUCUUCGGACCUUGCACUAUCGGAUGAACCCAUAUGGGAUUAGCUAGUAGGUGGGGUAAAGGCUCACCUAGGCGACGAUCUCUAGCUGGUCUGAGAGGAUGAUCAGCCACACUGGGACUGAGACACGGCCCAG
rnacentral:rRNA from 1 species